ACCAGAGCUUCGGCUCUGGGGAAAGCGGCGAACGGGUGAGUAACACGUGGGUAAUCUGCCCUCGGCACCGGGAUAGCCCGGGGAAACCCGGAUUAAUACCGGAUGGCCUCUCGCGCUCUCGAGCGCGAAAGAAAAGGUGGCUUCGGCUUCUGGCCGAGGAUGAGCCCGCGGCCGAUUAGCUUGUUGGUGGGGUAAUGGCUCACCAAGGCUCCGAUCGGUAGCUGGUCUGAGAGGACGAUCAGCCACACUGGGACUGAGACACGGCCCAGACUCCUACGGGAGGCAGCAGUGGGGAAUCUUGCGCAAUGGGCGAAAGCCUGACGCAGCGACGCCGCGUGCGGGAAGAAGGCCUUCGGG
rnacentral:rRNA from 1 species